rnacentral:rRNA from 1 species
GAUGAACGCUAGCGGGAGGCCUAACACAUGCAAGCCGAGCGGUAUUGUUUCUUCGGAAAUGAGAGAGCGGCGUACGGGUGCGGAACACGUGUGCAACCUGCCUUUAUCUGGGGGAUAGCCUUUCGAAAGGAAGAUUAAUACUCCAUAAUAUAUUGAACGGCAUCGUUUAAUAUUGAAAGCUCCGGCGGAUAGAGAUGGGCACGCGCAAGAUUAGCUAGUUGGUGAGGUAACGGCUCACCAAGGCGAUGAUCUUUAGGGGGCCUGAGAGGGUGAUCCCCCACACUGGUACUGAGACACGGACCAGACUCCUACGGGAGGCAGCAGUGAGGAAUAUUGGUCAAUGGGUGCAAGCCUGAACCAGCCAUCCCGCGUGAAGGACGACUGCCCUAUGGGUUGUAAACUUCUUUUGUAUAGGGAUAAACCUACCCUCGUGAGGGUAGCUGAAGGUACUAUACGAAUAAGCACCGGCUAACUCCGUGCCAGCAGCCGCGGUAAUACGGAGGGUGCAAGCGUUAUCCGGAUUUAUUGGGUUUAAAGGGUCCGUAGGCGGACUUAUAAGUCAGUGGUGAAAGCCUGUCGCUUAACGAUAGAACUGCCAUUGAUACUGUAAGUCUUGAGUAUAUUUGAGGUAGCUGGAAUAAGUAGUGUAGCGGUGAAAUGCAUAGAUAUUACUUAGAACACCAAUUGCGAAGGCAGGUUACCAAGAUAUAACUGACGCUGAGGGACGAAAGCGUGGGGAGCGAACAGGAUUAGAUACCCUGGUAGUCCACGCCGUAAACGAUGCUAACUCGUUUUUGGGCUUUAGGGUUCAGAGACCAAGCGAAAGUGAUAAGUUAGCCACCUGGGGAGUACGCUCGCAAGAGUGACACUCAAAGGAAUUGACGGGGGCCCGCACAAGCGGUGGAUUAUGUGGUUUAAUUCGAUGAUACGCGUGGAACCUUACCAAGACUUAAAUGGGAAUUGACAGCUUUAGAAAUAGAGCUUUCUUCGGACAAUUUUCAAGGUGCUGCAUGGUUGUCGUCAGCUCGUGCCGUGAGGUGUUAGGUUAAGUCCUGCAACGAGCGCAACCCCUGUCACUAGUUGCCAUCAUUCAGUUGGGGACUCUAGUGAGACUGCCUACGCAAGUAGAGAGGAAGGUGGGGAUGACGUCAAAUCAUCACGGCCCUUACGUCUGGGCCACACACGUAAUACAAUGGCCGGUACAGAGGGCAGCUACACAGCGAUGUGAUGCAAAUCUCGAAAGCCGGUCUCAGUUCGGAUUGGAGUCUGCAACUCGACUCUAUGAAGCUGGAAUCGCUAGUAAUCGCGCAUCAGCCAUGGCGCGGUGAAUACGUUCCCGGGCCU